UAGCUCCCUGCGGAAUAUUUUCUGU
rnacentral:misc_RNA from 1 species